rnacentral:sRNA from 1 species
ACCGGGAUGGGGAGGGGUCCGGCCUCCCUUCAAACCUGCACCCACCUCAAGCCGAGUGGGUUCUACAUGCUUUUAGACAAAUGUCGACAAAUUUGCCUCGGUGGUUGGAGAAAGAAAAGCUCAUAGGCCGGGCGCGGUGGCUCACAACUGUGAUCCCAGCACUUUGGGAGGCCGAGGCGGACAGAUCCCCUGAGGUCAGGAGCUCAAGACCAGCCUGGUCAACAUGGUAAAACCCCGUUUCUACUAAAAAUACAAAAAUUAGCCGGGCGUGGUGGCGCGCGCCUGUAGUCCCAGCUACUCGGGAGGCUGAGGCAGGAGAAUCGCUUAAACCCGGGAGGCGGAGGUUCCAGUGAGCCAACAUCGCGCCAUUGCACUCCAGCCUGGGCAACAAGAGCAAAACUCCGUCUCAAAAAAGAAAAAAAAAAGCUCCCCCCAGUGCUGCCGCUUGUGUGGAUGGGUACUUGGUGGUUCUUAGGGGACCAUGGAUAUGAGUAGCCUUUAGGAGCUUGUGAGCCCGCUAAAACUUAUACAGAAGUUUCAGGGCAGCAUUUUCCUUGAUCAUUUCUGUUUGUAGUUUUUCUAUCAGUCAUUUCAGUCAGCGUCAUAAUUCACGUAUCUUCUUUUAGGUGGUGUUCCCACUGAUGAAGAGCAGGCGACUGGGUUGGAGAGGGAGAUCAUGCUGGCUGCAAAGAAGGGACUGGACCCAUACAAUAUACUGGCCCCAAAGGGAGCUUCAGG